CAAAGGGUAGUUUAGAAACGCAGAAUUUUGGCCUUGGAUGCCAGGGGUGAAAGUGAAAAUCUUUCCCAUUUGA
rnacentral:tRNA from 1 species